rnacentral:misc_RNA from 1 species
UGGAUUAGCGGGAAUCGUGUAAGGAAGUUCAUUCCAUAUAUUGGUGAUCAUUUAUAUUUUUAUAAAAAAUCGUGAGUUAAUUACCGAAAAGCUCCAUAAUAUCCCAAUGUAAUGAUCUAGUCCUCAAUGUUGAUGCCGUUCUUAUUCUGCCCCCAAUGAAGACUACUGGUUCUUAAGUAGUCUUUAACCUUAUCGCUGGUGAAAUCCAAGGGCAAUUUCCUACCUCUUUUUACAGGUAAGAUUGCACAAUAUACAAAAAAAAGUAUACGAACAACAGAAGUAUGUUACUUGUUUUGAGUUUGGUGUUAAUCAUAAAAUUUUGGCCUUUCACCGGAAAUUGCCCAUUUUUAAUUACCUGUUGAGGUUGGUAAAAAUUUGAAAACAGUGGUCAUCCAUUGAGGAUGAUGCAGUGAAGAUGAAAUGAAAUACUGAGGAGGAUAUAGUCAACAACAGAUCAAGAUUUGCGAAUGUCACAUGAGAGCUGCAAGGAAAGGCCAUCUUUUUAGCUGAAUGGUUUGUUUGGAAGACACUAUAAAUGUCAUAUUUUCUAACUAUCUGUAAAGUUGCUCUUUCUUCUGUACUAGUCAUGGCUGUAAGUUAGUGUUCCAUGUACAUUCUGCUUUUUGACUUUGUGAGUCUGAACCAUAAUCAAGUAUGAUUUUCGAGUUAAGAGUAUUGGUCUGAUGCAAUGAAAAUAUGUCCG